rnacentral:rRNA from 1 species
CACGUAUUUAGCCGGAGCUUCUUAGUCAGGUACCGUCAUUUUCUUCCCUGCUGAUAGAGCUUUACAUACCGAAAUACUUCUUCACUCACGCGGCGUUGCUGCAUCAGGGUUUCCCCCAUUGUGCAAUAUUCCCCACUGCUGCCUCCCGUAGGGGUUUGGGCCGUGUCUCAGUCCCAAUGUGGCCGUUCACUCUCUCAAGCCGGCUACUGAUCGUUGUCUUGGUAGGCCGUUACCCUGCCAACUAACUAAUCAGACGCGGGCCCAUCCUGUACCACCGGAGUUUUUCCUGCUGUACCAUGCGGUACUGUAGGCUUAUGCGGUAUUAGCAGCCGUUUCCAGCUGUUCGUCCCCCUGUACAGGGCACGGUUACCCACGCGUUACUCACCCGUCCGCCACUCAGUCCUGCGCGUCUUCCCUCCGGAGACGUUCCGUCACACAGUCUUCGUCGACUUGCAUGUGUUAGGCACGCCGCCAGCCGUUCACUCCUGAGCCAGGAUACGAAACUCU